rnacentral:tRNA from 1 species
GCGUGUGUAGUACAAUGGUAGUACAAAGUCCUUCCAAGUCUAAGACCAGAGUUCGAUUCUCUGUACACGCUCCA